AUUGGGGGUGGCUCCAGGGCCUGGGACCCUGGCUCCUGAGCAGGUGCGCCACCCUCAGUGUGGGGGAGGGCGAGGGAGUGGACACCCACCCAAGGGGGUGACGGGACAGGCUUCCUAAACCACUGGAGCUCUGAGGCUCCUGGCAUAUCCGUCCCACGGGGCUGCAUCUCCGGUGCCUCCCCUCCCCUCCUGUGUUCCACCCACCCUGCCCUGUGGUCUCUGGUUGCCCUGCUCUGGGUGUCUGCAGCUCCGCCACACCUGGCACAAGUAUCUGCCUUGCUCUGCUGUACCCAACAGCUCUGAGAUUUUUAGGAAGCGAAGGGGCAGAAGAAGCGACUCACAAGCUCCUGGAGCUGUGUUGGGAGGGGCCCUCGGGGGCCCUGGAGUGGAGAGACACACCCAGAGGCUUUCCAGCCACCCAGGGAGGAGGCGCGGUGGCUGGGAUUUGGAGACAGCUGCGGAGGAGCAGCUGGAAUGGCCCCACAGGCUACAGCCCGUGUCGGUGUGGGAUGCGAGGGAGAGGAGCCAGGAUGGCCCCACAUGCUUUCCUUGGCUGCCUGGGCGGGUGCAGCAGCCACCUGAGAGGGCCGUCUGAGGACACGAGGCGGCAUCAGCCUCAUGAGAUCUGGGAUGUGCACGGGACGUCCAUGAAGCCGUCGG
rnacentral:lncRNA from 1 species